rnacentral:snoRNA from 1 species
AUUUCGUGAUAAGGGCACUUCCAUAAUAAUUCUUUAUACCUUUCUCAUGCUUCGUACAACGACUCAUCAACCAUUUUUUGGAAAGUAGUGAUCUUGUUUCUCAACUU